UACGGAGGUGGCAAGCGUUGCUCGGAAUCACUGGGCGUAAAGGGCGCGUAGGUGGUUCUGUAUGUCUACCGUGAAAGCGUACGGCUCAACCGUAUUUUGUCGGUAGAAACUGCAGGACUUGAGGCUGGGAGGGGCUGGUGGAAUUCCCUGUGUAGCGGUGAAAUGCGUAGAGAUGGGGGAGAACACUCGUGGCGAAGGCGGCCAGCUAGACCAGUUCUGACACUGAGGCGCGACAGCGUGGGGAGCAAACAGG
rnacentral:rRNA from 1 species